GCCAGGCUACCUUUUCCUCCACAUGUAUUGGCAAAGUUUAAAGAUUAUACUUAAGGUUUAUGAUUGGCCAGGCUACCUAUUCCUCCACAUGUAUUGGCAAAGUUUAAAGAUAAUACUUCAGGUUGAAGAUUGUCCAGGCUACCUAUUCCUCCACAUGUAUUGGCAAAGUUUAAAGAUAAUACUUCAGGUUGAAGAUUGGCCAGGCUACAUAUUCCUCCACAUGUAUUGGCAAAGUUUAAAGAUAAUACUUCAGGUUGAAGAUUGGCCAGGCUACAUAUUCCUCCACAUGUAUUGGCAAAGUUUAAAGAUAAUACUUCAGGUUGAAGAUUGGCCAGGCUACAUAUUCCUCCACAUGUAUUGGCAAAGUUUAAAGAUAAUACUUCAGGUUGAAGAUUGUCCAGGCUACCUAUUCCUCCACAUGUAUUGGCAAAGAUUAAAGAUAAUACUUCAGGUUGAAGAUUGGCCAGGCUACCUUUUCCUCCACAUGUAUUGGCAAAGUUUAAAGAUCAUACUUCAGGUUGAAGAUUGGCCAGGCUACAUAUUCCUCCACAUGUAUUGGCAAAGUUUAAAGAUUAUACUUCAGGUUUAAGAUUGUCCAGACUACAUAUUACCUC